GAUGCUUUUAGUUUGUUAGGUAUUUAUUAUUAGUACAAGCCAAGUUUUAGCAAUAACCAACCCGUGAAUCAUUUCCUCACCAAGGAACAUCAUUAUCAUCAUCGAACAAAAAACCAUUAAUAGAACCAUUGUAUCUCAGAUCAUCUGCAUCUCUAAUCAAAGGAGCUCCCAAGGCCACUCAUAACCGUCAGCACUACUGAUAUAUCAGUUUCGAUCCUUUGCAGAGGUCGCGCACUUUACCCAUGAGCCGUGAUUCCCAUUCUGUCCAAGGAGCACUUAUCCUCAUUGACCACUACCUAGGUGAUAUGGUAGGGUAUCACUACGUAGCCUUUACAAAGAUUCCCCGUGUGUGUAGUCGUCCGUUAGUUUUUGCCAGUCGUACAUACACAGUACUCCUCCCUAAGGUGGGUAACUAACAAAACUGAAACGAAUGAACCUCGGCACCAACCCUUAGCAAAGCAAGCACUAUACCCCGGCCCCCAUUGAUAGCACAACGGUGAAGCCAACUACACCCCUAAGUUCCUCCAAUUAAUCAGCUAAGGGCGUCCCAUUCUACCCUCAUGGUUGUACUGUUUUCCCAGAUGGUCAUCCAGCGAACAAGUCCUUACAGAGAGGUACUUGGGAAACAGCCUGAGUCCCCUAAAAUCACACAAGUUCAUCAUCAUAAUCAAGAUAUCAUCAUGUAUCAUAGAUAUUCUUAUCAUGUUCAUUGAUUAAAGUAGAGCGCUAGCAUAAAGCUAACCACAAUAACCCAAAAAUUAAUCAAGGAUGAGGUAAAUAGAAAGCUAGUCAAUCCUUAUGUUUUAAUUGUAUAAUGCGGGGAAAUGAAUGUGAAUAGGAUAUAAGUAGGUCAGAGGACACUUGCCUUCACCAAACAGAAGCUUAGGGUCUUCAACAUUAUGGAACUCGAGGAGCUUGUUCGCUUGGUCGUGAAACUUGACUGUCGAUUCCUUAAAGCUUAGGAAUAGAUCGCAAUCUAUUCGCGACGCGCAACGAAUACAAACUGGCACAAGAAACACAUAUACUUGCAUAAGAACAUUACACCAUACCAGAUAAAAUAUUAUAAAAACGAGCAAUAUAAAAUAGAGAGCGCUUCUACGGUUACACAAGGAAAAGGAACGAACCAGUCGAAGCUAUGGUCGAGAAGUUAUCACGUUUACACUAAACCAGUAUUAAUCAGAAUAUUUAAUUUGACAUAAUUAUAUUAAUUGAACUUUAUCAAAUGUACAUUAAAACUACUACUUAGCUUUGGCUAAAUUACUGUUUUUUUAUAGUGGACGAUUAAAUAAAUAGUUAAUUUACUGACAUGAGUGGUUAUGAGCGAACGAUUUAAUAUUACGCACAGACAACGCGCGAUACACAAAAACAGCGUGCGCGACAGACACACGUGAACGACGUGAACAACACGGCAUCACGUGCACCAGACGCGCGACAAGAACGUGCGAACAAACAACAACGACGCGCAAAUAGCGCGCGAGAUAGCGUGAAACAGUGUGCGAGACAUGCGUGAUCGAUGUGUGCUGCAGUACGUGAAUAAUGUGCGAACCAGAUGCGCGACAAAGCGCGCGACACACAAAAACGAUGCGCGCGACGUGCGGAAUUGGCAUGCGCGACACCCACAAAUGACGUGACCUACGGGAAAUCAAUUUUCGUGUUUAUGCUAAACAAGUAGUAAUUCGAAAUGUCCGAAUCAGCAUAAUCAUGAAACAAUUAUUUACAGAUAUGAAAUAAAACUAUAGGUUAGUUUUAAGUGGAACAUUAUUCUAAUACCCAACUGAUGAACAAAUGAUUAAUUAAAUAAAUCAAAAUUCACGAAUUAUUAUGACGUGGCGUAAUUCUAUUGGUUUCGGAUUGACCACAUAGAGGGUCGCAUGGAUCUUGGUCGCAGAAGAUCCCACGUAGGAUCUCGCGUGGAUGGGGAUUCUCUCUUUCGUCUUCCCUGGAAACACAACCGCACUCCGCACGCAUCAAAAUCCACACAGGGGGAGGCUUCGCCUGGCCAUCGGGAUGAGGCUGGCCGCCGCGCCACCGGGCCACGUGCGCCUGCAGGGGCCCGAGGGGGGAGGGGGCGUGCAACCGCGAGGGGGCGUGCAACCGCGAGGGGCCGUGCAGUCUGUCGCGCCGGGCGAGCCAGGCUUGGCCGCACGCGCAGGGAAGGACGGGCUGGGCGCUGGCUGAUCCGAUGGUUGGCCUCACAGGCCUGCAAUGGUGCACAAGGCCGCCAUGGCACGAGCUCGUCGGGGAUCAGGUGCCGAGUGGCCGCCGCGCGCAAGGGAGAAGAGGUGGGGGCCACGACCAGGGGCCCUGCGGCGUAGCACGCCAAGGGGAGAGGACGCCGAGGGAAAGGAGGUAUAAGGAGAGACUCACCUGCGUAUGCGAUGACCAAUAACCGCCUCUCCGUGAUUUGGAUCUGGGGACGAAGUGCAUAUGUGAGCAGAUGGGAGAGAUCUGUAAAUCCCAAAUUUGGAUGGAAUAAUUUUUUUAUACAAAAAGCUUUGGAAAUUAUGGAACCCUACGUGAUUAAUUGUUCUCUUCUCUUUUGCAUAUGUAAAUAAAG
rnacentral:lncRNA from 1 species